UCCUGCCUGCCCUGUGACUUGGAAGUUCAACGGCCGCGGUAUUUUGACCGUGCAAAGGUAGCGUAAUCACUUGUCUUUUAAAUGGAGACCAGUAUGAAUGGCAUAACGAGGGCCAAACUGUCUCCUUUUUCUAGUCAAUGAAAUUGAUCCUCCUGUGCAGAAGCAGGAAUACCCCCAUAAGACGAGAAGACCCUAUGGAGCUUUAGACACAAGACAACCCAUGUUAAAAAACUAAAUUAAUAGAAAAAACAAAAUGGCAUUUGUCCUUUUGUCUUUGGUUGGGGCGACCAUGGAGUAGCAAAAAACCCCCAUGUGGAACAGGGCCUACCCCCUUAAAACCAGAGCCACAGCUCUCACCAACAGAACAUCUGACCAACAAGAUCCGGCAAAGCCGAUCGACGGACCUAGUUACCCUAGGGAUAACAGCGCAAUCCCCUUUUAGAGCCCAUAUCGACAAGGGGGUUUACGACCUCGAUGUUGGAUCAGGACAUCCUAAUGGUGCAGCCGCUAUUAAGGGUUCGUUUGUUCAACGAUUAAAGUCCUACGUGAU
rnacentral:rRNA from 1 species